UGUCGGAUGUCGUGUUUCUACCUGUUGCUACCUUUUGGAUGUACCAGUUCCUGUCCUCGUGAGUUCUGUUCAUGCCAGUUUGUCGUGCUUGGGAUAAAUAAACCCUGGAACUCAAUCUCAGCUCACAGUGUCUUGCAUUUGGGCUCACUUCUGCUGCACUCACUCAGAAAACCCUGACAGGUUCAGUAGCAGCUUGUCGCAGGCCAGUGACGCCGGCUGGCACACUGAGGUGAGACUCAGCACAACAGCAGCAACACACAAAGUCUUCAUAAUGGCUCUGAUGCGUGUCUCUCUCAGGGUUGGCUGUGUGGCAAUACCAUUGGCUGUGGUGGUGGACGGACCAGUCAAGACUUCAUUCCACGGCUGUCUCUUCAUCAGCUGUGUGGUCAUCCUGUUGACGCUGGUCUCAGUUUUGUCUCUUGCAGCUAUGGCAGUGGACCGAUUCCUCGAGGUGUAUAUCCAUCUCAGGUAAAACAUGUU